GCAGCAGCAGCAGCUAGGACAACAUUUGGCAGCUCCUUUUCUCACUGUCGUUCUUACAGCGAACAUUUUCCAGUAUAGAGAAUCAAAAAUCCCCUUUUGAGCUCGCCGUCGGUCAUUCCCAUUGAUUUCCCCGGCGCGGCGGUGUCCAUACUUCCCCAAUCUUCAUCCUCAACACACAGACUAUUAGGCUCAAAACCCGAGAACACCAACUUUCGGUUCCGAAAUCGCAGACCAUGAAAACCCAAAUGCUGACCACGAGAACUCCCGGUUUAAGUUUCUAAACGAGUCACCACCUCACUAACUCCGGUUUGGGGGCGUGACUGUAACUAUUGGAUUUAACCAAUGUAGUGUCUUGGAACCAUAAUGUGUUUUUGCCGCUGCAUUCCUUGGAAAAACUUAGGACACUAUAUCUUCUUUGCUGGCAAAGGUUGGAUAUCGGAUUAUGCUUAUUCUUCUAUUCUGAUGACUUAACCAUGAUGAUAUAGCCCAACUCUUUCCUGGUGAUUCCUUGGACUCAGCACGAUUUUAAUGCAAACCGGCUCAUGGCCUUUUCAAGAGCAUCACUAGAGCUACCACUACCAUGUCCAUAGAAAGGCAACUCAAAGGUGGCUUUGUGGCUGCCAGCAGAUUCACCAUGCAAUGGAGAAUCAGAAGCUCUCGUCGAGCCACCAUCUUCCCGUCUCAAUUUUUGCUCUUGGUUUGAUCUGGAAGCUUCUGAAAUCCUUUGAGUAGCAUGUUUAGCCAGCCCUAUGCCAUUGCGUCUUGCACGACCAGGAUGUUGAUUGUGCAGGGUUACAAAAGAGUCGUCAGAUAUCCAUGCCUGCUUGUACUUUGCUCAUGUUUUGGCCUUGCUGUAUCUCAAUAUUCUUUAAGCUGCCCUUUCUGAGUGAAAGAAGAUGCGAGGAAUCGAGUUGUUGAGUUAUUCGAAAGGAUAUAGGGUUCAUCUCAAGGGUUUAUGAGAUAUUUUUUUUGUCCGAAGUCUCCAAACUCUUGGCAGAUUUGAGCUUUGCUGCAGUGAU